CCUACGGGGGGCAGCAGUGGGGAAUAUUGCACAAUGGGGGAAACCCUGAUGCAGCAACGCCGCGUGAGUGAAGAAGGUUUUCGGAUUGUAAAGCUCUGUUAGCAGGGAAGAGGAAGGACGGUACCUGCAGAGGAAGCCACGGCUAACUACGUGCCAGCAGCCGCGGUAAUACGUAGGGGGCAAGCGUUAUCCGGAUUUACUGGGUGUAAAGGGAGCGUAGACGGCGCGGCAAGUCUGAAGUGAAAGGCAGGGGCUUAACCCCUGAACUGCUUUGGAAACUGCCA
rnacentral:rRNA from 1 species